rnacentral:rRNA from 1 species
GACGAACGCUGGCGGCGUGCUUAGCACAUGCAAGUCGAACGAAGAGCGAUGGAAGCUUGCUUCUAUCAAUCUUAGUGGCGAACGGGUGAGUAACGCGUAAUCAACCUGCCCUUCAGAGGGGGACAACAGUUGGAAACGACUGCUAAUACCGCAUACGAUCUAAUCUCGGCAUCGAGGAUAGAUGAAAGGUGGCCUCUACAUGUAAGCUAUCACUGAAGGAGGGGAUUGCGUCUGAUUAGCUAGUUGGAGGGGUAACGGCCCACCAAGGCGAUGAUCAGUAGCCGGUCUGAGAGGAUGAACGGCCACAUUGGGACUGAGACACGGCCCAGACUCCUACGGGAGGCAGCAGUGGGGAAUCUUCCGCAAUGGACGAAAGUCUGACGGAGCAACGCCGCGUGAGCGAUGACGGCCUUCAGGUUGUAAAGCUCUGUUAAUCGGGACGAAAGGCCUUCUUGCGAAUAGUGAGAAGGAUUGACGGUACCGGAAUAGAAAGCCACGGCUAACUACGUG